UACGAAGGGUGCAAGCGUUACUCGGAAUUACUGGGCGUAAAGCGUGCGUACGCGGUUUGUUAAGUCCGCUGUGAAAGCCCUGGGCUCAACCUGGGAAUUGCAGUGGAUACUGGCAAGCUAGAGUGCGGUAGAGGGUAGUGGAAUUCCCGGUGUAGCGGUGAAAUGCGUAGAGAUCGGGAGGAACACCAGUGGCGAAGGCGGCUACCUGGACCAGCACUGACACUGAGGCAUGAAAGCGUGGGGAGCAAACAGG
rnacentral:rRNA from 1 species